AUUGAACGCUGGCGGCAGGCCUAACACAUGCAAGUCGAGCGGAUGAAGGGAGCUUGCUCCUGGAUUCAGCGGCGGACGGGUGAGUAAUGCCUAGGAAUCUGCCUGGUAGUGGGGGAUAACGUCCGGAAACGGGCGCUAAUACCGCAUACGUCCUGAGGGAGAAAGUGGGGGAUCUUCGGACCUCACGCUAUCAGAUGAGCCUAGGUCGGAUUAGCUAGUUGGUGGGGUAAAGGCCUACCAAGGCGACGUUCCGUAACUGGUCUGAGAGGAUGAUCAGUCACACUGGAACUGAGACACGGUCCAGACUCCUACGGGAGGCAGCAGUGGGGAAUAUUGGACAAUGGGCGAAAGCCUGAUCCAGCCAUGCCGCGUGUGUGAAGAAGGUCUUCGGAUUGUAAAGCACUUUAAGUUGGGAGGAAGGGCAGUAAGUUAAUACCUUGCUGUUUUGACGUUACCAACAGAAUAAGCACCGGCUAACUUCGU
rnacentral:rRNA from 1 species